UUUCCGUAGGUGAACCUGCGGAAGGAUCAUUCAUAAUAAGUGUUUUACUGCACUUUUUAAAAAUAGUACUCACCUUGUGUGCAAUGUUGUGUUUCUUUUCGGAGAAACACCUACACCAACCUAUAACCUUGAACCACUUUGUCUGAAAAACUAUUAUGAAUACUUAAUUCAAAAUACAACUUUCAACAACGGAUCUCUUGGCUCUCGCAUGAUGAAGAACGCAGC
rnacentral:misc_RNA from 1 species